AUUGAACGCUGGCGGCAGGCCUAACACAUGCAAGUCGAGCGGAGUGGCGAACGGGUGAGUAAUACGUGAGUAACCUGCCCUUCAGAGGGGGACAACAGUUGGAAACGACUGCUAAUACCGCAUACUGAAGGAGGGGAUUGCGUCUGAUUAGCUAGUUGGAGGGGUAACGGCCCACCAAGGCGAUGAUCAGUAGCCGGUCUGAGAGGAGGAACGGCCACAUUGGGACUGAGACACGGCCCAGACUCCUACGGGAGGCAGCAGUGGGGAAUCUUCCGCAAUGGACGAAAGCCUGAUCCAGCCAUGCCGCGUGUGUGAAGAAGGUCUUCGGAUUGUAAAGCACUUUAAGUUGGGAGGCGUUACCAACAGAAUAAGCACCGGCUAACUUCGUGCCAGCAGCCGCGGUAAUUC
rnacentral:rRNA from 1 species